rnacentral:rRNA from 1 species
UACGGGGGGAGCAAGCGUUGUUCGGAUUUACUGGGCGUAAAGGGCGCGUAGGCGGUCAGCACAAGUCAGUUGUGAAAUCUCCGGGCUUAACUCGGAAAGGUCAACUGAUACUGUGCGACUAGAGUGCGGAAGGGGCAACUGGAAUUCUCGGUGUAGCGGUGAAAUGCGUAGAUAUCGAGAGGAACACCUGCGGCGAAGGCGGGUUGCUGGGCUGAUACUGACGCUGAUGCGCGAAAGCCAGGGGAGCGAACGGG